rnacentral:tRNA from 1 species
GGAGGGGUGGCCGAGUGGCUGAAGGCGGCGGUUUGCUAAACCGUUAUACGGUGAAUAGCCGUAUCGAGGGUUCGAAUCCCUUCCCCUCCUCCA